CCCCUCUCAGAAUGGCACCUGGAGAGUUUCCAGGACUCUACCAGUCUGCUACGGCAGGAAGAGUCAAGCAGAGGCCUACCCGUUCCAUUCCUAGUUCGGGCAGUGGCUAGCGAGUGGAAGGCCAUCUGCUACAAGU